UACGUAGGGUGCGAGCGUUGUCCGGAAUUAUUGGGCGUAAAGGGCUCGUAGGCGGUCUGUUGCGUCGGGAGUGAAAACUCAGGGCUUAACCCUGAGCCUGCUUCCGAUACGGGCAGACUAGAGGUAUGCAGGGGAGAACGGAAUUCCUGGUGUAGCGGUGAAAUGCGCAGAUAUCAGGAGGAACACCGGUGGCGAAGGCGGUUCUCUGGGCAUUACCUGACGCUGAGGAGCGAAAGUGUGGGGAGGCGAACAGG
rnacentral:rRNA from 1 species